rnacentral:lncRNA from 1 species
AUGAUGGAUCUGUCAUUGUUUCCUAUUCUGAAGCAAGUAUUCUAUUUAAGCUUUAUGUUAAACUUCAAAUUUUUUUUUGUUACAGAAUACCCAUUUUGCCUUCAAAUGCAUCUGCAUCUCCAAAUGGCCGGCAUCUUUGUGUUUGACUCCUGAUUUGCCCUGAUGUUUUGUCACUGUGCUUCUCCAGCAUCUGGCUUUCAGGAGAGAAAAGCAGCAGAACAGAACCGAACCUGAGGCCCCUUCACAAGUGAUGAAACAGGUGAUGGUACAUCGUGGCUGAUCAGAACCUUUUUGUUCAUGUUCUUCGAAAGGAAAAAAAUCCACUGCUAUAAAGUUUC